rnacentral:rRNA from 1 species
UACAGAGGUCUCAAGCGUUGUUCGGAUUCAUUGGGCGUAAAGGGUGCGUAGGUGGCGCCGUAAGUCAGGUGUGAAAUUUCGGAGCUUAACUCCGAAACUGCAUUUGAUACUGCGGUGCUUGAGGACUGGAGAGGAGACUGGAAUUUACGGUGUAGCAGUGAAAUGCGUAGAGAUCGUAAGGAAGACCAGUGGCGAAGGCGGGUCUCUGGACAGUUCCUGACACUGAGGCAUGAAGGCCAGGGGAGCAAACGGG